rnacentral:rRNA from 1 species
CCUACGGUGGGCAGCAGUGGGGGAUAUUGCACAAUGGGGGGAACCCUGAUGCAGCGACGCCGCGUGGGUGAAGAAGGGCCUCGGCGCGUAAAGCCCUGUCAGUAGGGAAGAAACUGACGGUACGUGUAGAAGAAGCCACGGCUAAUAACGAGCCAGACGCCGCGGUACUAUGCAGGGGGCAGGCGUGAUCCGGAUUUAAUGGGGGUAAAGGGGGUGCAGGCGGGAAUGAAGGCCAGGAGUGAAAGCCCGGGGCCCAACCCGGGGAUUGCAGUUGGAACUGCGGGGCUGGAGUGCAGGGGGGGCAGGCGGAAUUCGUGGUGUAGCGGUGAAAUGCGUAGAUAUGAGGAAGAACACCGAUGGCGAAGGCGGCUUGCUGGACCGGAACUGACGCUGAGGCCCGAAAGCGUGGGGAGCGAACAGGAUUAGAUACCCGAGUAGUC